UACGGGAGGCAGCAGUGGGGAAUAUUGCACAAUGGGCGCAAGCCUGAUGCAGCAACGCCGCGUGAGGGACGAAGGCCUUCGGGUUGUAAACCUCUUUUAGUAGGGAAGAAGCGACUGGGUUUUCCAGGGAGUGACGGUACCUGCAGAAAAAGCACCGGCUAACUACGUGCCAGCAGCCGCGGUAAUACGUAGGGUGCAAGCGUUGUCCGGAAUUAUUGGGCGUAAAGAGCUCGUAGGCGGUUUGUCGCGUCUGCUGUGAAAACCCGAGGCUCAACCUCGGGCCUGCAGUGGGUACGGGCAGACUAGAGUGCGGUAGGGGAGAUUGGAAUUCCUGGUGUAGCGGUGGAAUGCGCAGAUAUCAGGAGGAACACCAAUGGCGAAGGCAGAUCUCUGGGCCGUAACUGACGCUGAGGAGCGAAAGCAUGGGGAGCGAACAGGAUUAGAUACCCUGGUAGUCCAUGCCGUAAACGUUGGGAACUAGAUGUGGGGACCAUUCCACGGUCUCCGUGUCGCAGCUAACGCAUUAAGUUCCCCGCCUGGGGAGUACGGCCGCAAGGCUAAAACUCAAAGGAAUUGACGGGGGCCCGCACAAGCGGCGGAGCAUGCGGAUUAAUUCGAUGCAACGCGAAGAACCUUACCAAGGCUUGACAUAUACCGGAAACGGCUGGAAACAGUCGCCCCGCAAGGUCGGUAUACAGGUGGUGCAUGGUUGUCGUCAGCUCGUGUCGUGAGAUGUUGGGUUAAGUCCCGCAACGAGCGCAACCCUCGUCCUAUGUUGCCAGCACGUAAUGGUGGGAACUCAUGGGAUACUGCCGGGGUCAACUCGGAGGAAGGUGGGGAUGACGUCAAAUCAUCAUGCCCCUUAUGUCUUGGGCUUCACGCAUGCUACAAUGGCCGGUACAAAGGGCUGCGAUACCGCAAGGUGGAGCGAAUCCCAAAAAGCCGGUCUCAGUUCGGAUUGAGGUCUGCAACUCGACCUCAUGAAGUCGGAGUCGCUAGUAAUCGCAGAUCAGCAACGCUGCGGUGAAUACGUUCCCGGGCCUUGUACACACCGCC
rnacentral:rRNA from 1 species